AGAAUCUCCAAAGCAAACAAAGGGAAUGUUUCAGAAUCAAAAGAAGGAAGCACAGUGCAGAUGGAUUAGUGCGAACCCACACGUCGGAUUAUGGAUUAUAACAGCCAGCAGUGAGUUCCUUUCUGGUGGCCUUCAGAAACAAGUGCUCACUUCCCAUGCAGACCCUUUAAGUAUCGCUAUUAUGUGAUAUUGGAUGGAUUAUUUGACCAAGCCGGAGUUAUUGAGAUUUCUA